CAAAAAAUGGAAAAAACCUAAAUUUCCAUCAAUUGAUGAAUGGACCAAAAAAUGUGGUAUAUUUAUACAAUAAAAUAUUGUUGGGAAAUAAAAAGGAAUGCAGUACUGAUACAUACUACAACAUGGCUGAGCCUUGAUUCAGCAUUUUAGUAAUGUGAGCUCCUUAAUUGUGUUAGCUGUUUGUUUGUUUUUUUGUAACCAUGAAAGUUUAUUUAUUUAUUUUUCAAUAGUUUUGAGGGUACAGGUGGUUUUUUGUUACAUGGAUAAGUUCUUUAGUGGUGAUUUCUGAGAUUUUGGUGCACCUGUCACUGGAGCAGUGUACAUUAUACCCAAUAUGUAGUCUUUUAUCCCUAUGAAGGUUUAUUUUAAUCCUAGCACUUGUUAAUAUUUAUCCUUAAUUCUUACUAACUUUUAGAUUGUGGGUAUUAUAUCUUCAUGAGAAUAGCUAAAAUAAUUUUAUUUGGAUAUUCCUCAAAGAACUAUUGAAUGUGAGCAUGCUAAGAUUACCCCUGGCAAAAUGGAAAAUGCCUAGCACCUGGAAGCAUCUGUUUCUGCCGGUCUUCUAGGAGAGAGGAAAUAUUUAUGUCUUCCAUUUAUGUAUUUUGACUGGGGAAAAUUUUCCCUUUUAUUCUGGGGAGCUGUUACUCAGCAUAAGAGAAUGUAGAGGAGAAUCACCCCUUUCACAUAUCUAAUAGCUUUACCACAUUACUACAGUAGUAUCUUAUGUUGUAUGCAUUGAUUGUCAAUCUCUUCUCCUCAUCUCCACCAUUUUGAUAGCUUAAGGCUUAUCAUUCAUUCUCUGUGCAUAGAAAAAAAAACCGAAAUGAUGUUUUCCAGUAUUUUGUAAUCUUUCCUUCAUGAAUUGCAGAAGAAAAGUGUUUGGGUUUUGUCCCAUUCAUCAUAAAGCGGUACACAAUAGAUACGGUUGCAUUUUAAAGCAAGGCUAAGAUGGAUUUAAGAUGUAUUUCUUGUCAUGUGAAACGUCCUCCUCAGUGGUCUUAAAUAAAAUAUUAAUUAGAUAAUUCUGCAGUGAUUAAUAUGAAAAUGGUUACAUAAUUCUUAGAUGGUAUGUAUUGUGUUGGGCUAACACCACAUUGCUUUUCUAGA
rnacentral:lncRNA from 1 species